CUGGAGGCUGGAACAGCCCUUGCCUCAUCGCUUUCUCUGCAUCCUUAACCCGGCGUCCCAGCCUGACCACCCAGUGGGAGGAGGACCCGGGGACAGAAUGCAGUUGAUUUCAGCCAACACCUCUCAAACCUCACUUUUCCACGACUCUUCAGCCAUUUUACAAAAUAUCUGGCACGUACUUUUCAAAAAUGCUAAGAUGGCAAAAUACCAAGACUCGAGAACUGUUGCCAGUUAAAGGAGCUAAAGAGACGCGGCAACCGAAUGCAAAGUGUGAGCUGGGGUUUUACUGGGACGGAGGGUGAAAUCAGGAUGAGGUCUCCAGAUUAGGUAACAGUACUGUGUCUGUGUCAACUCCCUGAUUUUGACAAGCGUACUGUAGUUAUGUAAGAAAAUGUUCCUGCUUUUAGGAAAUAUACACUAAAGUAUUGAUUUUUUUUUUUUUGGGUGAGGAAGAUUGGCCCUGAGCUAACAUCCGUGCCCAUCUUCCUUUAUUUUGUAUGUGAGAGGCCACCACGGCGUGGCUUGAUGAGCUGUGCGCAGGUCCACACGAGGGAGCCGAACCUGCAAACCCCAGGCCACCAAAGUAGAGUGGGCAACCUGACCACUCCAUCACCGGGCUGGCCCCAAGAAAACCUGUUUUUAGAUGGUUCAGAAAAAAAUAAUCUCUGUGCAUGUGUGCGUGUGGGUAGGUAGUGGGGAGAAAAAGAGAGAGAGAGAGAAAGUAGAAAAAUGUUAAUACUAGGGAAUCUGGAUAAAGGAUAUCCAGGAAUUCUUUGUAUGACUUUUGCAACUUUUCUCUAAGUCUGAAAUUGUUUUAAAAUUUAAAACACAUUUAAAAGAAACUUUACGUUGCUGUUAUAAGCGGGAAACCAGCACCGCUUGCUCAGAAUUGAAGGUGAUUCUAAAAUGAAGCAAUGCUCUUACUCUUGCUGGUACACUGGUCUGCUAGGUCUGGGCCCUAGACCGCCUGUUCUUGGCUCUGGGUGCGGAUGGGCGAGGGCGGGGAGGCGUCAAGACGUCCUGGCGCCAGCCCAAGAUGUUCUCCUUGAUGUCAUGAGAAAGACUGGCACGGAGUAGAAAAGGCCAUCGCUUUCUCAUGAUGUGAUCCGAUGAUAUUUAGAGUCCUGUCCUAUGGGUACGAGCUCAGGGACAUUCAUUUCAUGUCAGUUUAACGGGCACCCUGGGGCCAGGCACGUUAUGGAGCCCUGGCACCCAGAGAGGACGAGGUCUCCGCCCUCAGGAAGCUCACGAGCUGGGCAGAGACACUUAUGGGCAGGACUGGGGUGGAUGUGUGUCCAGGUAGAGCUCGCUUCUCCGAAUCCCGACGCUCCUGGGGUCCCUUGGAGUCCAGAGGUGAUGACCCUGGGGCUAGCAGGUGGCCCGGGAGCAGGCACACAGCAGGAACAGCUCAGAGCUGG
rnacentral:lncRNA from 1 species